GCGAUGCAGGCGUUCGUCUAGUCGGUGCACGUGUGCAACGAGCUGUGCAUGCAGUCGCUGCAGGUCUCGCGCGGGGUCGAGUCGCAGUGCGAGCGCGGCCGUGCCCCGCGGGGCGUCGCGAUCGCCCUCCGCGUUCUCACUCACGCCGCUGCCACACCCCUCUGCAUCCGGCUCUGAUCGUCCACAGCUGUUGAUAAAGUCCACUUGGAAUCAGCAUAAUAGCCGGCAUGGAGCGUAGCAGGCGAGCGGCGGCACAGCGCGGACAGCAGCCGCAGCCACUCGGCGCGCUCCACACAGUUGCUCGCCUGCACGAACAGCACGCGCUCGCGAUGCACUGACGGAUAAUUCGAUUCAAUUAUUUUUAUUUUUUUAGAGUAUUCAAUUUCUUUAUGUAUCGUUGAAUAUAUGUUGAAGAAGAAUUUAACUGAAUUUAAUGCCAUAUGUAAUUCUCACCUAUCUGGAAUAUGUUGUUUGCGUCAAGAGGCGCGCCUGCGGGCGGGCAGUCCACGGGCGCCACGCUCAGCACGCCGGCCAGCGCCAAGCGAUGCGCGCCCGAACCCUUGGCACCGCAGCGUGACCACGACAACUCCCCACUUGCGGGUGCGCCGAGCGCGCCCAACGCCGCCGCGGCGAGCCCGCACCGCCGCGCACGCCCUCCGACCGCUUGAUCAUAGUCCUGUAACAUUCCAGAAGACAAAAUGAAGUGCUGAUUAUAGUGGGAGAGUUAAGUGAGUGUCUUGAAUGCUUACCCCUCCUUGAGAAGAACAGGCGUCUCUUGCACGUUAUUGUUUUGCGUGUCCGAGCUUGUAGAGAUUAUUUCCAGAAACUGCUUUAUUGCUUGCACCUGAACAAAAAAUGCAUAAAGUUUUAUUAUAUCAAUAACGAAAUAAAACAUAGUUUUGAUUGUAAUUAUGUGUCCUGAAUACAUUAUAUUUUACAUGUAAUGAUUAUUUAUAGUUU